UCCGACUUGGAGUCGGCAGUCUCGCAUGACAUAAGCAACAUACGAUGAGGGUUGCGCUCGUUUCCUGACUUAACAGUACACCUCAAGGCACGAGCUGACGACAACCAUGCAACACCUGUCUUCGGGUUCCGGUAAAGGCACUUUCCAAUUUCUUGAAAAUUCCCGAGAUGUCAAGCCCUGGUAAGGUUUCUCGCUUAUUGUCGAAUUAAACCACAUGCUCCACCGCUUGUGUAGGUCCCCGUCUAUUCCUUUGAGUUUUAGCCUUGCGGCCGUACUACCCAGGCGGGAUACUUAAUGCGUUAGCUUAGGCACCAAGGGGGUCGAAUCCCCUGAUACCGAGUAUCCAUCGUUUACAGCGUGGACUAC
rnacentral:misc_RNA from 1 species